CAAGAAUUCCUUAAUCGAAGAUGAUUUUAAGAUUAAAAAAACUACUCUGUCGUCUUACACAAUGGCCGUAUGGGUUUCGGAAAUACUAGAGUAAUUCGACAUGCUAAGGCCAAAUCAAGCCACCAUAUUUUCUGUUUCUCAACCAAUCUAGGCGCGGCCAGGGCAAACAACAGUAUGGGCCACCAUGGCUGGUGGGACUUGUACACACCCGC
rnacentral:lncRNA from 1 species